rnacentral:rRNA from 1 species
CUGCGUGGAUUUUGGUUAAUCAUCCUGCGAGUUAUGAUGUGUGGCGAGGUUAAGUAUGAGCGGAGCCGAAGGGAAACCGAGUCUUAAUAGGGCGACGAGUCGCAUGUCAUAGACGCGAAACCUAGUGAUCUAGGCCUGUCCAGGCUGAAGCUGAGGUAAGACUCAGUGGAGGGCCGAACUCACCGCCGUUGAAAAGUUGGGAGAUGAGGCAGGUCUAGGGGUGAAAAGCCAAUCGAACUAGGAGAUAGCUCGUUCUCUCCGAAAUGCAUUUAGGUGCAGCCUUGGUAGAAGAUAUGCGGGGGUAGAGCACUGUAUGGCCUAGGGGGCGUAUAGCUUACCGAAGUCAAGCAAACUGCGAAUACCGUAUAUUGUUUACCGGGAGUGAGUCUAUGGAUGACAAGGUCCGUGGACGAGAGGGGAACAGCCCAGACCGCCGGCUAAGGUCCCAAAUCAUGUCUAAGUGGGAAAGGAGGUGGAUAUUCACAGACAACCAGGAGGUUGGCUUAGAAGCAGCCAUACCUUGAAAGAGUGCGUAAUAGCUCACUGGUCGAGAGUAUCUGCGCCGAAGAUAUAACGGGGCUAAGACAUGAACCGAAGCCGCGGAAUUAGUUUAUGCUAAUUGGUAGGAGAGCGUUCUGUAGGCCGUAGAAGGGGUGUUGUAAGACAUUCUGGAGGUAUCAGAAGUGAGAAUGCAGGAAUGAGUAGCGAGAAGGAGGGCGAGAAUCCCUCCGGCCGGAAGUCCAAGGUUUCCAGGGGAAGGUUUGUCCGCCCUGGGGGAGUCGGGACCUAAGCAUAAGCAGAGCUGCGAAGGCGAAUGGAAAACAGGUUAAUAUUCCUGUACCGCUGUGUACUGUCUGAGAGAUGGAGUGACGCAGGAAGGUAUGCGGGAAGGCUGACGGAAUAGCCUUUCUAAGGGUGAAGCGUGGACAUGCAGGCAAAUCCGCAUGUUUAUACGUGAGGCCUGAUGGGGAAGUGCCAUAUGGCAUAAGCCGCAGAUCCUACACUGCCGGGAAAAACUUCUAUUGAGGGAAACAGCGCCCGUACUGUAAACCGACACAGGUGGACAGAGUGAGAAACUUAAGGCCGACAGGAUAACUCUAGCUAAGGAACUCUGCAAAAUAGCCCCGUAACUUCGGGAGAAGGGGUGCCUGAUAUACCUGAAAGGAGAAACGCCUCUAGGGGAAACAGGCCGCAGUGAAGAGUCCCAAGCAACUGUUUACCAAAAACACAGGUCUAUGCUAAGCUGGAAGGCGACGUAUAUGGGCUGACACCUGCCCAGUGCCGGAAGGUUAAGAGGAGGAUUGAGAGAUUCGAAUUGAAGCCCCGGUGAACGGCGGCCGUAACUAUAACGGUCCUAAGGUAGCGAAAUUCCUUGUCGGGU